GCUGCAUAGGGUUGAGCCAUAUGUCACAUACGGCUAUCCCAACUUAAAGAGUAUCAAGGAAUUGAUCUACAAACGAGGUUAUGGAAAGGUAGACAAGCAGAGAAUUGCUUUGACCGACAAUGCUGUAGUUGAGCAGGUGUUGGGCAAACAUGGAAUCAUUUGCAUCGAAGAUCUCGUUCACGAGAUCAUCACUGUGGGACCACACUUCAAGGAGGCUAACAACUUCCUAUGGCCUUUCCAACUCAAGGCACCUCUUGGUGGACUAAAAAAGAAGAGAAACCACUACGUUGAAGGCGGUGAUGCUGGAAAUCGCGAGAAUUUCAUCAAUGAGCUCAUCAGGAGGAUGAACUAAAACAUCUCUCACUAAGCAACAGUUUUGUUUCUUUAGAAGUUUGUUUUUGGUGUUUUGAACCGUUUGUAAUAUUGAACUAGACACAUUUCUGCCAGAGGUUAAAAAUUGGUCUUUGGAUUAAGUAUGCUAAUUGCCUCUGGUUUUUUCAUUGUUCAAUAUUAAAAUGGAAGUGUGCUUU
rnacentral:misc_RNA from 1 species